ensembl:lncRNA novel transcript
ACAGCCCGAGGGUACCCAGGCCAGGAGGGCCCUGCUUAUCCCCAUUUGAAAUGGGAAAAAGCCUCUGAUUAAACCGCUUGCCCAAGUCUCCUGGCAGUAAGUGGUGGAGCAGGAUUUCGUCCCAGCCUCAUGCUGUUUCCACAUCCCCACAGUGGCCCCGGGCUGUGCUCCUUCCCUGGACCUGAGCUUCACUAUUGGACCAGAUGAGCCUCUCGGAUCCAUCCCAGCCUGGCACGUCUAGAUCCUGCCUCCCAACGCAGGCUGCUGAGAUGUUCACUUGAAUCUCUCACCAUGGACAUUACCCAAACAUUACCUAAUGUUUUCCAGAGAGAAGAAUCCUAUUUCUUUCUGUGUUUUAGAUUCCAAACCAAAAAGGGACAUAAUUGUGUGGUGAAAAUAACAAGGGACUUCAAAUCAGAAAACCCA